rnacentral:rRNA from 1 species
UACGGGGGGGGCAAGCGUUGUUCGGAAUUACUGGGCGUAAAGGGCUCGUAGGCGGCCAACUAAGUCAGACGUGAAAUCCCUCGGCUUAACCGGGGAACUGCAUCUGAUACUGGAUGGCUUGAGUUCGGGAGAGGGAUGCGGAAUUCCAGGUGUAGCGGUGAAAUGCGUAGAUAUCUGGAGGAACACCGGUGGCGAAGGCGGCGUUCUGGACUGCAACUGACACUGAAAAACGAAAGCCAGGGGAGCAAACGGG